AGGAACACGCCAACUUAUUGAGACUUUAGCUUAUGCAGCCUAUCCCCCAGAGUUAGAUAAGUCCUUACAUACCCUUCUCAUCUCUGUGCGUGUCAUAACUCUGUCUGACGCCCCCACCGCUAGCCUAGCUCACCACAGCUCCCGGAUGACAGAAGGUGAAGCACUGCUACUUGGGCGGAGUGAUUAGCGCAACACCUGAAAAGCCCCGUUGUUACCCUCUGCUCCUCACCACUGGGCUUCUUGGGUGCUGGGAGCAAAUCACUCCGCCCAAGAAGCAGACGUAGCAGUGCUUUGCCUUCGUGAGAAUAUAGUUCACA